AUACGGGGGGGGCAAGCGUUAAUCGGAAUUACUGGGCGUAAAGCGCGCGUAGGCGGCUAAGUAAGUCGGAUGUGAAAGUCCUGGGCUCAACCUGGGAAUUGCAUUCGAUACUGCUUGGCUAGAGUAUGGUAGAGGGUAGUGGAAUUCCUGGUGUAGCGGUGAAAUGCGUAGAUAUCAGGAGGAACAUCAGUGGCGAAGGCGGCUACCUGGACCAAUACUGACGCUAAGGUGCGAAAGCGUGGGGAGCAAACAGGAUUAGAAACCCCGGUAGUCC
rnacentral:rRNA from 1 species